rnacentral:misc_RNA from 1 species
GAUGAAGAACGCAGCGAAAUGCGAUACGUAAUGUGAAUUGCAGAAUUCAGUGAAUCAUCGAAUCUUUGAACGCAUAUUGCGCUCUUUGGUAUUCCGAAGAGCAUGCUUGUUUGAGUAUCAGUAAACACCUCAAAACUCUUGAUUUUUUUGGAGUUUUGGACUUGAGCAAUCCCAACACCAGUCUAUUUCAGAUUGGCGGCGGGUUGCUUGAAAUGCAGGUGCAGCUGAACUUUUCUCUGAGCUAUAAGCAUAUCUAUUUAGUCUGCCUAAAAAACAGAUUAUUACCUUUGCUGCAGCUAACAUAAAGGAGACUAGUUCUUGUGCUGACUGAUGCAGGAUUCACAGAGACAGCUUCGGCUGACUUUGUAAUCUCGAUCUCAAAUCAAGUAAGACUACCCGCUGAACUUAAGCAUAUCAAUAAGCGGAGGA